CCUACGGGUGGCAGCAGUGAGGAAUAUUGGUCAAUGGACGAGAGUCUGAACCAGCCAAGUAGCGUGAAGGAUGACUGCCCUAUGGGUUGUAAACUUCUUUUAUAUGGGAAUAAAACGUUCCACGUGUGGGAUUUUGUAUGUACCAUAUGAAUAAGGAUCGGCUAACUCCGUGCCAGCAGCCGCGGUAAUACGGAGGAUCCGAGCGUUAACCGGAUUUAUUGGGUUUAAAGGGAGCGUAGGUGGAUUGUUAAGUCAGUUGUGAAAGUUUGCGGCUCAACCGUAAAAUUGCAGUUGAAACUGGCAGUCUUGAGUACAGUAGAGGUGGGCGGAAUUCGUGGUGUAGCGGUGAAAUGCUUAGAUAUCACGAAGAACUCCGAUUGCGAAGGCAGUUCACUGGACUGCAACUGACACUGAGGCUCGAAAGUGUGGGUAUCAAACAGGAUUAGAUACCCCAGUAGUC
rnacentral:rRNA from 1 species